rfam:Drosophila ficusphila unplaced genomic scaffold scf7180000450010, whole genome shotgun sequence
AUAACGGCUCUUUUCAGAGCCACCACAUGAUCAAGAAAGAAUGUUGU